rnacentral:lncRNA from 1 species
GAGAGAGAAAAGAAAAGCAAAAAAGAUGUAGAGAGCAAAACAAUGCGGGAGAUCUGGGCUGCAGCGGCAGAGCGGCUCCGGGAGCUGCUGGCCGCCCGCUCCGCACGGGCACGGCAGGGACAGGGAUAGGGCGGGGGGCACGGCCGCCCGCAGCCCUGAGUGCCGCCGCGGGAGCCACGUAAAAUCCAGCCUUUCAUUUCUGUUGGAAUGCAGCUGGCCAGCCUCCCUUACCCUCCGAGCCACCUUAGAGGGUAAAGGGGCUAUGAACUUUGCAGAGGUUCACAAGUGGCACCCGACAUCCCACCAGUCUGCUGCAAGGUAGGGUUCAACUGGGCUGGACUGGGUUGGAAGCUGAAUCCUCAGAUAACCCAGAAAUGUUGGAGUUAAGGGUUUGCUGCCCCACUCCCUGCCUCUCGUUUCUCAGGGUUCAAAUUAAUCAGUACCUCUGUAGAACAGCAGUACCCUGGUUAUGUGGCAUAAACCCUAAUGUGAAAACAGCUUUUCAGGCCAAGAAAGCCAGACCUUAGGGGACUGUGGCCCUAUCUAUGGCAGUGAUGUGUUUUUGAAAGCCCUUACUUUCAUUAGCAAACCUGUUCAAAUUCUAAAUUGUCUAUCAGACUGAACUAGCCCAGUUCAGCUUCUAGAAAGAGGUAGCUGCUGAAGCGUGUAUUUUCCACUUACACAAGGCUCCAGCUUCAAACAUGAUGAUGCUGUUCUGUCAUCUGCUUCUUCAGCAAUGGAAUAUUCCACGGAAAUAACUUGUUGUGUGUGAAUUUCCAUUAAAGCAUAUUACUUCUGUGCGCAAACAUUUUUCCUGAAUUAGUCAGCCCUGGUCCAUAUAAGUGGUACAGAGGCAGUCCUGGUUAUAAAAAGGAACAAUGAGAAAUGUAACCAUUUAAGUGUGGUAGGGAAUGCUGUGCAAAAAAUCAUUUGCAUUUCUGCCCUUGUUUCUAGUAUCUGCGAGACAGCAGAAUAAGUGGCAUCAAACAAAGCAUCAAACUCCUUUGUCCUGUUUUACCAAAUGUGCUGCUUUGUGCCAGUGGCGGAAAGGACAAGAGGAAAAAAUACUUCCAUCAGGCUGCAUGCAAGAGCUUCGUGAUAUAUUUAGAAACAAGCAAAUGACAGAAAAAUGCAGAAUAUAGUUGAGGUCGCUUGUUAACACUUUGUCUGAGUGCAGAAUAGGGAAAAAUGCAAGAUUCUGCAGUGAAUACAUGAAUAUUUAACAAAUCUGAAUGAAGAUAAAUUGGGGAAAUCUUUCUAUAAAGACAAACAAAUACAUCUUUAUUCUUUAUAACAUAGGCGAUAGCUUUGCAUUUCACAUGGCCAGCUAUGCUUUAUAUAAUAGGGUGAAUAUGUAUUGCUAACUGUGUAGAUGCUGUUGAAUUGAGAAAAUACAUUUUUAAAUUUCCAUAAUGGAGGAAGGCAGCAUGUCUGAGGUUACUAGCAUUUUAGAUUAUUAUUACUGAAGAUAUUUUUUACAUCAUUAGUUUUUAAUAUAGAUGCUGCUUGCUUCUGUUUUACAAUUCACUGUGGAUGGGGGACUGAAGACACAGCACUUGGUUGCAUAGAAUGUAGUCCUGCUAGAACUAAGCAGAUAUUUCACGAAUUUUGACACAUAUCUGGUAGAAGCAGGUUUUGUCAUUUUUGUUUAAACAUCCAUCUCUUCCAGUCUUUCUCCAUGUAAGACAAAAGCAACAAAAUCAGCAUUUUUUUUUUUAAUGUAUCCAUUUGGGCAAAUAAAUUUUAUUUCUACACUGACAUUUGUCAAGAGAAAUUUAACAUUAUCUAACAGUUUGUAGCAAGGAUCCGAGUACAUUUCUUCACCUCUCCUUUACAUUCCCACAGAGAUCCAGCAUGGGUUUGCUUGUUUUCUUUUUUUCCAGAGGAGUGGAGUGUGUAGUGCAGAGAUAUUACAUAAAACUGCUGUAUAAAGUUUGUCCACUAGGUGGUCCUUAAGGACAUAUUUAAGGAGGUUGGUUCAGGUUUUCAUCCUAAGUAUGGGGUCCUUCUUAAAGCAGUUAAUUCAGUUAACAGUGUAGCAAGGCAGCUUAUGGGGGCAAAUACCUGUCUACAUGAAGAAAUCCUCAUUUGCAGCUGACAUACUCUGUUCAUGUUCUGGGGACUCUAAACACUUGGAAAUAAUGAGUUUCAUUGGCAUUAGGGUGAUGCAGGGAAAAGAAAAAAAAAUACCAUAGUCAAAAAUAGACAAAAUGACAAUAUACAGCACUGACAGGAAAAUAACUAAAUAUUUCCAUUCCUAGCACAAUGCUUUUAUUUUGAGACGAAGAGAUGAAGUCUGGGAAUCUACUGCGUGCCAAAGUCUUCCUGGAGAAUAUGGAGCUCCCUCAAAAUUGAGCUGGUGUGAAACUGCUCUGAGGUAUGUGCAACAAGGCACUUCUCUAGACAGCUACAUCACACUGAGCCACUUGUUUUGUUGCUUGUACUAGCUGUUUCCAACCUGGAAAGGAGCAUCGUCACUAUAGAUGGCAUGUGCAGAUGAAGGAAACUCCUUACCGUGAGUGCCAUGGAAUGAAAUAUGUUCUGAUUACAUCCACUACCAAAAAAAAAAAAAAAAAAAAAAAAAAAGAGAUGCAUAAAGAACAAUGUAAAAAAUUGCACCAUUCUGAACUUUGGGCAAAAUUUAUGGCAAAAUUCAAAGAAAAAAUAUAGCAAUUUAUACCCAUUGAACAGGCAGUGAUCAUGAGAGCGAAGUAAAGGUAUGGAUGUCCAUCUCUCAUACAUGCCAAAUGCUCUUGUAAUCAAAUCUAAUUAUGCAGUAGACGCAUUUUCCAAGAGUUCAGUAAAUAAAUGUUAGAAAUUAAACUUUUCAAAUACAUUUUUAAAGUUAUAUUCUUAUAUUUGAUGAUAAAAAGGGAAACCAUGAAUCCAUGAAAUAGAUCUGCAGUCAUUAUGUUCCUUUUUUAUUAUAUUGCUGUAAUUUUUUUAGUGUGGUAAUGGUAAAUUUUUAAAUACAUUGUACUAAGUUCCAUAUCCAUUUUUGACUUAGUUCUGAUUUCAAGUGUGUAAAGUAUGAUUCCAUUAGUCAUUAUCGAUUCAUAUAAAACGUGGCACGGUCUCUUUGUUAAUGAACGGAAAAAUAAGAAUGAAGUUGUAGAACAUAAUGAGGUUUAAAAAUGAGGUUGCUUCAUUUUACAGCAGUUCUGCUGAAAAUUAUGCCAGGAUUGGCAAUUCUGAGUUGCGUAUUGCUUGCAGUACAAACCAUGCCUAACCCACACUGUAGAGAGGCAGGUGUAUGGGAGCCGUUAGGUCACAGCCUGAACCAGUGAUUGAGCACCUGGUGAAGGGGCGUUGCCAGCUCUGGGAACACAGGUGCAAGCAAUUCAUCUGUGCAACCCUGGGUCCAACCCUCCCUAAGCUCAUUUAAGGGUUGGCAGCCUUAGAGAUCACCUGCUUUUGAGAGUUUCCAGGGAGCCCUGAGCCUCAGAAAAGGUGACGCGUGGCUUGGAUCAGUAUUCAAACUACUGAGGGAAGCACAAGCAAGGUGUAGAAGUAUUCAUGGCAUGCUAGGAAGAGCUCCUGGUUGUCUGGAGUGCUCAUCUUGAGCUGCCAGGAGCACAAUGAAUGUGUGCAGGGCAACAGUGCCAUCUUAUAUAACGUGUCUGUGGAAGGAGGAGUGUGUCAAACUGCUUUAAUCUGUAUGAACAAGUGGUAGUGACUCCUGUAAUGGGGGCUGAAACAAAAUUAAUCUCAAGUGUAAUGUGUUAAGAGCUUGGUUUUAUGAGCCAUUUCUAGAACUAGACAACAUCAAACAAAAAUACUUGGCACAAUUGUUUUAUGGUGGACAGUCCCAAGAAGCGAUAGGAAUUGAGCUGUGAAAGCAGAGUUAAAGAACAUUCCAAUUAGCCUGGGUGAGAAAGGCAGCAUUAACUCUGGGUGUGUUUUCUGUGGUAUUUUCAGAACUAUUUCUCAUUUUAAAUACUUCGUGUAUCUGUUCCAUUGCUAUCUCAUGUAAAUCCUUUUUGCCACAGGGUUGGUGUGGUUAUACGUCAUAACCGUUUGUGGAGCUGGGAUGGGAGAAAUCAAAAACUAGAUUUAUGACAAAAAUGCAUGGUGAUGGC